rnacentral:lncRNA from 1 species
AAAUGUGUGACAUUUCUGGCAUUGGUUUAUUGAUUUUGGAUGGUUCUGGCUCCUUUCAGAGGUGACUUCCUGGGUAUCCAUGUCUGGAAACGGUAAUUUGCUAUUCCCUCGUCACCACGGUGAGGGUUGAUGCAUUGACCUACUUGAGAUCAAAAAGAAGGUCUUUCUGUGCACAGUCCAUGCUGGACUUGCUUCAAUGAUGCUGGAUGCACAGCUUUCCUGGUCUUCCCACUGGCCAGCAUCAGAGGAGGUGAGCAUCCAGACUACCAGCUGCACAGAGCAGAGCACAAAGAAGCAUGAAGCAUGAAGCAGCAAAUGCAUGGAGAGGGGGCUGAUUGUUUUGUCAGGAGGCUAGGAGAUCCAAACCAGAAGAUACGACUCCAGUGAUGUCUCCGAGUCUCACCAUGUGGUGAGAGCACAUUGUAUCAAUCCCUUUGGAGAGAAAGGGACAGGAAGACAAGAAAUGGAGGGUCAUUUUUGGGCAAGAGGGUUCUAGUGCAUUUGUCUUUUAAGGUGACCUUGGACGGAUUUUGUGCCUGCACAGUGGGACUUGAUUGGAAGCUGCCAGCGGGAAGGGUGCUCCCUCAGAGGAUGAUGAGAAGGGAAUAUGCUGGGUACACUAUGUGGUCCAUCAUGAGAGUUCAUUACAGACUUGCCCCCAUCACCACCAACAACAACCAGCAAAGAGAAUAAUUUCAAGUUUGGUUUGAGAACAUUUAAGAAAGGGAAGCAUGAGUUUAUAAAAAAAAUAAAUAAAUAAACUAUAAAACA